CGCAGCCGCGGUAAUUCCAGCUCCAAUAGCGUAUAUUAAAGUUGUUGCAGUUAAAAAGCUCGUAGUUGAAUUUCGGAAUCAAUAUAUCGGUCGUGCCUUGGUACGUACCGGUAUCAUUGGUUUCUCCUUUCUGACGAACCAUGAUGUCAUUAAUUUGGUGUUAUGGGAAGUUAGGACUGUUACUUUGAAAAAUUAGAGUGUUUAAAGCAGGCUUUGGCUUGAAUACAUUAGCAUGGAAUAAUGAAAUAGGACGUUCGAACCUAUUUUGUUGGUUUCUAGGAUCAACGUAAUGAUUAAUAGGGAUAGUUGGGGGCAUUAGUAUUCAAUUGUCAGAGGUGAAAUUCUUGGAUUUAUUGAAGACUAACUACUGCGAAAGCAUUUGCCAAGGAUGUUUUCAUUAAUCAAGAACGAAAGUUAGGGGAUCGAAGACGAUCAGAUACCGUCGUAGUCUUAACCAUAAACUAUGCCGACUAGGGAUCGGAUGAUGUUAAUUUUUAAUGACUCAUUCGGCGCCUUACGG
rnacentral:misc_RNA from 1 species